AGUAACCAAAAAAUAGCUUUGAAAGAAUCAAAUUCUCCAUCAAUCUCUCUAAAUCCUCCCACUCUACAAACCGGCCACUGCUGUUUCUUUUCCCUUUCUUCGUGACUCAUCCCAACCUCUUCACUUUGUGUGUGCUGGAAACCUAGAAUUGUUUGAAUAUCAAGAAGAAUGGUGCUAAGAAGAGCGAAAUAAGCUUCAAAAGGGUGAUAUCAGCCAUAGAACCUUAAUGUACUGACUUCAAAAUCAAGUUCAGAUGCAUCUAGGAGACAGCCUAGGAUUUCUCUCUACACCCAACCAUCUGUUAUUGGCCGCCACUAAGCUCCCUAGAAUCGAUUUUCUCUAUGGCGUCCGCCUUUUCAAUAUCCCGACCUAGAACAUGCCAAAUAAAGCUAAAAUGGUUUUUCUUUUGCUAUUAGGUGCGCAUGUUGAGGUCUCGUUGGUUAUCCAUCUACGAUCUCUUACAGGUGGUAGUUAUCGUGGGGAACUCAUUGACUGGGCAAACCAAAUGGAUUUGACCUAUAUUCUCUUUGAUUUCAGAUACAAUUGACGACCAUUUAUUCCGAGGUUUAUGAAGAUUCGACAAUGGCUUAAUAUAGAUCAUCGCCCUGGGACCCAAAACUUCCAAGAGGCCAAGGUACAAGAUCUUAAGUUCUUCAGCUACCAACUCACAGUUCAGGAGCAAUUCCUUAAAAAAAAUAGUGAAAAUUUGGAUAGGUUCAUACCAAAUUGAUCAACGAUGGAUUUUGUUUAUGCUCGUUACAUGAUAACCGAAGUAAAAAAUGUAAUGGCUAGCUCACCUUCUAGGGAAGCAUACAGGAAACAUUUGGCGAAGAGCUUUAACAUGAACAGAACAAGAAUUCUAGCUUUCGAGAACAAGUCUCCAACUCUAAUCAAUGGAAUUGUUGCUGAUUGUUGUACUUCCAGAACUUGAAAAAGCCUGUAGAUACAUUCACCAUGUCAGUUUUCCUUCCUCUAAAAGAACCAUUUAGAAAUCUGAUCUCUGGUUCAGGAACUGAAUCUUAUGUUUUUUUGGAUGCUCCUCAUCUUGUCGAUGAUUACCACUUGAAUUUGUUGGAUUGGGGAAGUGGCAAUACCUCUAGGGAGCAUAAUGUAUCUAUGGGAUGAUAUUGAUGGUAAUACCUCAAAACUCAUUACUAUAGAAAAUAAGGUUGGACCUGUCACAAGUGUCAAAUGGGUAUUUGUAGGCUUAAACAAUUUUGAUGUCGAGUUCUGGGAUUCUACAUCAAACAGACUGGUAAAUAAAUAAUAUGCUCUUAGGUUUAUGAUUUAGAUUGAAUGUUUUCUAAAUCUGUGUUUAAUAUGUUCUUCCGAUAUUUUUAUUAAGAGGGCAUUGUACUUUAAUGAUUUGGGGUGUAAAUGUAUGUACUCUACCUUAUCAUGGCAUGAUUGUUCACAAGUCAUUUACAGGUUGAUGAUGAAGUAAAUCUGGAGGAAAGGAACAUGAAAAUCCAUGGCAAGAAAUGGUUGAUGUGAGGCUUAUUAUGGAUGAUCCAUAAGCACAAACAAAAGCAAUCUAUCUAGCAAGCAGGGGAAUUGGAAAUUCCAUCCUUUCAAUCCUACAGUGACUAAUGCUACAUUAAUAGACCCAAUUCCAACCCCCUUGGGUUAGUUAUGUAUUUUCUUUGUCUAAUCUCUCAAAGAUUAUGUUUAUGUUGAUAAUGAAUUUUCUUGUCUAAUCUCUUAAAGAUUUUUUUUCAGCUUUCUUUCCAACGAAUGAAGCCUUUUUAUGUUCUAGAUGGUAAGUUAUCUGGAUUAAUUUUGUUGUUCACUUUACUUAUCUUCACAACAAAGGUGGUAUGGUUGUGGUCAUUCAGAUGAUAGAAUAAAUAAUGCAAUUUUGGGUGCUAGCAGGCGACAAAGAAAAUAUGAUUACUAGAUGUUAAUCAAAAAUUUACUCUUGUGUUUCCUCAUUUUGUAUACCCUAAAACACAUCUGCUUAGAAUCUCAUUGUUACUCCUCCUAUUCAUAAAAGCAAGUCUUAUAAUUUAUUUUUGUAUCUAGAUAUCCUUUCUCUUAA